UACGGAGGAUGCAAGCGUUAUCCGGAAUUAUUGGGCGUAAAGCGUCCGUAGGUGGCACUUCAAGUCUUUUGUCAAAUCGUGCAGCUUAACUGCAUACGGGCGGAGGAAACUGGAGCGCUAGAGUGCGAUAGGGGUCACAGGAAUUCCCAGUGUAGCGGUGAAAUGCGUAGAUAUUGGGAAGAACACCAGCGGCGAAAGCGUGUGACUGGGUCUGCACUGACACUGAGGGACGAAAGCUAGGGGAGCGAAAGGG
rnacentral:rRNA from 1 species